rnacentral:rRNA from 1 species
CAUAGGUUAAUGAGGCGAACCGGGGGAACUGAAACAUCUAAGUACCCCGAGGAAAAGAAAUCAACCGAGAUUCCCCCAGUAGCGGCGAGCGAACGGGGAGCAGCCCAGAGCCUGAAUCAGUGUGUGUGUUAGUGGAAGCGUCUGGAAAGGCGCGCGAUACAGGGUGACAGCCCCGUACACAAAAAUGCACAUACUGUGAGCUCGAUGAGUAGGGCGGGACACGUGGUAUCCUGUCUGAAUAUGGGGGGACCAUCCUCCAAGGCUAAAUACUCCUGACUGACCGAUAGU